CUUGGUUUGGCUCAAUGGUAGAGCACGUGCUUAGCAUGUGGAGUGUCCUGGGUUCAAUUCCCAGCACUGGGA
rnacentral:tRNA from 1 species